UCGACAUUUGCAGUCACUGAGCGCAUGGAGUGGAGCGAUCCCAACAAAUGUCAUAUCUGUGGGGAGGUAGGUCACUGGAAGUGGGCGUGUCCAACUCGUGGCAGAGGCAUGGGCUACGACAGAGGGGGAACUGGCAGAGGCAGGCGUGGUAGAGGCAGAGGUGGAUACUCAGGGACCUCAAGGGGUCAGGCUUCUAUGGGUAGAGGUGGCUACUCAGGACACUUAGGGGAUCAGAGGGCUCACAUGACAGUGGCAGGAGACACUGGGACGUCACAAGGCAAAGAUGCAGCUAAUGCUGACUAUGGAGACUUUGCUCUCUGGGCCUCCACUGAUGAAGGAGCGCCAGACGAGCCAGACGAUUGGGACUGGCACCAGGCGUAGGGGGCUCUGGUACAUGGACCAGGAGGUGCAGCCGGACUUGGUGUGUGCUGCGACCAUGGAGGACAAGGAGAAGGAGGCGAUGAUCCAUCACUGUAGGAUGGGACAUGUAUCUUUUGAUAAGAUGAGUAGAAUCUUUCCGGAUGUUAUGUGUGGGAUAGGCAAGGGCAAGUUGACAUGUGAUGCUUGCGAAUAUGCCAAACACACACGAGCCUCAUAUGUGAGCAAGGGGCUUAGGAGCAUCUCUCCUUUUAUGCUUAUUCAUUCGGAUGUAUGGAAGAGCCCAGUUGUAUCAAUGAAUGGAAUGAAAUACUUUGUUA